GACGAACGCUGGCGGCGUGCUUAACACAUGCAAGUCGAACGGAAAGGCCCCCAUCGCUGUGGGGGUGCUCGAGUGGCGAACGGGUGAGUAACACGUGGGUGAUCUGCUCUGUAUUCCGGGAUAAGCUCGGGAAACUGGUUCUAAUACCGGAUAGGACCAUGGUUUAGUGUCUCAUGGUGGUAAUAUUAUUGUUUUGGUGCAAGAUGAGCUCUCGGCCUAUCAGCUUGUUGGUGGGGUAAUGGCCUACCAAGCCGUCGACGGGUAGCCAGCCUGAGAGGUUGGACGGUGGCAUUGGGACUGGGAUACGGCCCAGACUCCUGCGGGAAGCAGCAGAGGGGAAUAUUGCACAGUGAGCGCGAGCCUGAUGCAGCGACGCCGCGUGGGAGAUGACGGCCUUCGGGUUGUAAACUCCUGUCGUUAGAGACGAAGCCACGCUUAUUGGGUGUGGUGGCGGUAACUUUGUGAAGAAGCACCGGCUAACUACGUG
rnacentral:rRNA from 1 species